rnacentral:rRNA from 1 species
GACGAACGCUGGCGGCGUGCUUAACACAUGCAAGUCGAACGGAAAGGCCUGCUUUCCCUUGUGGAUUGCGGGUACUCGAGUGGCGAACGGGUGAGUAACACGUGAGUGAUCUGCCCCCAACUUGGGUAUAAGCCUGGGAAACUGGGUCUAAUUCCCGAUAGGACUGCAGGGUGGUGCCUGUGGUGGAAAACGAUUUUCUAGUGGUUGGGGAUGAGCUCGCGGCCUAUCAGCUUGUUGGUGGGGUAAUAGCCUACCAAGGCGGCGACGGGUAGCCGGCCUGAGAGGGUGGACGGCCAUAUUGGGACUGAGGUACGGCCCAGACUCAUACGGGAGGCAGCAGUGGGGACUAGUGCAAAAUGGGCGGAAGCGUGAUGCAGCGACGCCGGGUGGGUGAUGACGGCCUUCGGGUUGUAAACUCCUUUCGACCGCGAGGAAGCCACCUGGUUGGAAGGGUGGUGACGGUAGUGGUAGAAGAAGCACCGGCUAACUACGUG